AGACUGUGAUAGUUAUGAGCUGGGAUUAAGCUUGGUGCUUCCUCUUUGUUUCUUUUGUUUUCUUUGUUGUUGAAGAAUAAUGGAUAGUUUCUGAAUACUGAGAAGUGAGUCUGUGGAAUAAAUCAAAGAUUGAUUUAUGAGUUAUUGAUUAUGUAAUUGGAGUACUAAGUGAUUGAAUUAUAUGAGAAGUUAUUAGAAGAUUGACUAUGGAUGGAAGAUUAUGAUUGUUGUUUAUUGAGAGUUGUGUUUGUGUAUUUCGACACAAGAAGUCUGUGAUUAUAGGAAUUCUGUGAAUUCACAUUGGUUGGAGUGAAGCCUAUUAUUCUUGGUGUUGGAUAGAAUUUAUUGAAUUUUGAGUGGUCUUUUGAGAGUGCAGGGUUGCACAUUGUGGUUAUCAGUUGAUGAAGGAAUAUGGUUACUA
rnacentral:lncRNA from 1 species